UACGUAGGUGGCGAGCGUUGUCCGGAAUUACUGGGUGUAAAGCGCGCGUAGGCGGGAGGCCAAGUCCGCUGUGAAAUCGCCCGGCUCAACUGGGCGCGGUCGGUGGAAACUGGUCACCUGGAGGACGGUAGAGGCGAGUGGAAUUCCCGGUGUAGUGGUGAAAUGCGCAGAUAUCAGGAGGAACACCGGUGGCGAAGGCGGUUCUCUGGGCCUUACCUGACGCUGAGGAGCGAAAGCCAGGGGAGCAAACGGG
rnacentral:rRNA from 1 species